rnacentral:rRNA from 1 species
AGUUCAGGGAGGUAGUGACAAUAAAUACCUUACAGAGGUCUCGUUAACCGAGAUCUCUCAAACGGAAUGAGUACAACGUGAAUCCUUUAACGAGGAUCGACUGGAGGGCAAGCCUGGUGCCAGCAGCCGCGGUAAUUCCAGCUCCAGUAGCGUAUAUUAAAGCUGUUGCGGUUAAAAAGCUCGUAGUUGGAUAUCAGUGCGUGUCCGGUCCGGUAUGCCCGGCGGCGGCGCUCGCGCGUCACUGCCGGGCUCCCAAAUAUCGGCUGGCCGCAUUCAAUCGUGCCGGAUCCGUCGACGGGCCGUUCUACGGAGGGGCCUGUUGGCGACCGGCGACGUUACCUUGAACAAAUUAGAGUGCUCAAAGCAGGCUCUGAAUGCCUGUAUACAUAUUCAUGGAAUUGGAGAAUACGUCCCUGGCUCGAUUUGGUUGGUUUUGAGAGUCGAAGGGAAAUGAUUAAUAGGGACUGACGGAGGCAUUCGUAUUGCGACGCGAGGGGUGAAAUCCUGUGACCGUCGCACGACGAACUACUGCGAAAGCAUUUGCCGAGAAUGUUUUCAUUAGUCAAGAACGAAAGUUAGAGGUUCGAAGGCGAUCAGAUACCGCCCUAGUUCUAACCGUAAACGAUGUCGACCAGCAAUCCGCAACGGUCACUACACGGACUGUGCGGGCAGCUUCCCCGGGGAAACCAGAGUGUAUGGACUCCGGGGGAAGUAUGGUUGCAAAGCUGAAACUUAAAGGAAUUGACGGAAGGGCACCACCAGGAGUGGAGCUUGCGGCUUAAUUUGACUCAACACGGGACAACUCACCAGGCCCGGACACCGUAAGGAUUGACAGACUGAUAGCUCUCUCUUGAUUCAGUGGGUGGUGGUGCAUGGCCGUUCUUAGUUGGUGGAGUGAUUUGUCUGGUUUAUUCCGAUAACGAACGAGACUCUGGCCUAUUAAAUUUGACGCCGUCAGUCUCUUGUGACUGCGGCGAGCUUCUUA